CACCUCUCAGGGUUGCACCUGGAGAGUUUUCAGUACUCUACCAGCCUCGGCUACAGGAGAGAGAGUCAAGCAGGGGCCUACCCAUUCCAUUUUUAACUUGGGUAGUGUCUAGUGAGUGGAAGGCAAUCUGCUACAAGU